AGAGCGCGAGCCCAUCGCGCGUGCGCCCCAGUUCCCAGCGCGGAGCAGACCUGAGAGCGGGCUUGCAGAAAACUCCUACAAAUCAACAAGAAAAAGCCAGAUGUCCAGUAGAAAAUUGAGCAACAGACCUGACCAGAGCUGCACCUGCAGCAUACAGAAGUUCCCAGCCUACGCCACAGCCAUAGCAACUCGGGAUUCAAGCCAUAUCUUCGACCUACACCACAGUGGAUGGCAACAUUGGAUCCUUAACCCACUGAGCGAGGCCAGGGAUCAAACUUGUGUCGUCAUGGAUACCAGUUGGGUUCUUAACCCACUAAGCCACGACGGGAACUUCUCUGAAGCACUUUAAGCAAGGCUUCAAUCCAUUUCUACUGAGGACUAUUGGAGAUACUCCAGAGACUCCAGAGAGAGCAAGCCGGAGAUUGGUCACGUGAUCAUAUUGAUGCUUGAUGGACAGAGUGGUCAUGGUGAUUCCCUAGCCAGACAUUUCAUGACUCUAUGGCUGUGAUACUUAGGGGAUGCAUCUGCAGCAUACAGAAGGGUAGAGGUCUAAUCGAAGCCGUAGCUUCAGGUCUACACCACAGCCACAGCAACACAGGAUCCGAGCCAUGUCUGUGACCUAUACCACAGCUGAUGGCAACAUCAGAUCCUUAACCCACUGAGUGAGGCCAGGGAUCCAACCUGCAUCCUCUUGGAUACUGUCAGGUUUGUUAUCGCUGAGCCACAACAAGAACUCCAGAAGAUGUUUCUUAAAGAAGGGCUGGACACCACUGAGCAGACAGCUUCUGGGUGAAGCUCAUCCCUAUAUCAUCCCUGAGGACAGUGGCUGUGCUCUUUCCAUAUGAUCACAUCUGCCACCUACAGAUGAUUGUGCCUCUGCUGGAGGGCAGCACAUCCACGUGCUCCAUAAGGCAGGCACUAGCCUGGAAGGAAAUGGUGAGCCUGGGUAGAUUAUUUUCUGGGACACUUGGAGCUGGUGAACGUGGAGAUGGAAGGAGUUAGCAUGUGAACAGAAGCAGAAAGGCUAUAUUGGGAGAUGGCACAACGUAGAUUUGGGCUCAAGAGGCUGGUCAAAGCCACGUGGGACUUGAAUUUAUGAGGAAUCGGAAGCCGUAUGUCAGCAAAGGAAAUGCUCAGAGGUUUAAGACUGGAGCUGAAAUGCAGGCAGAAACUGAUGGCUGUGAUGGGGGUCAGGGGUGAUGCUGGGAGAUGUGACCCCCGGGAGAAGGACUAUGAGCUGACCCAAUGGGCUUCCUGGAGUCCUCCUGGAGUUCCAGCUUCAGUCUCAGGCUCGCUGUAACGUGUGAGUACACUCUUUGAUACAAGGCAGCUCCAGGAGGUCGCUGGUCCUUAAAUGAAAGCAGUUCAAAGGAAAAGUUUGUCCCUGUGGUUUCCUGUCUCCACAUUCCUGGUGUUGUGCUCCUCUCCCCUGCUCAGGCCAGUUCUGGAGAACAAAUCAGGAAGUUAAAUGACAUGGUGAAAGUACAAAAGAUAAAGAGGGUUUUUCCCAUUUUAAAAGGGGGGAAACUGGGGUUAUAUCGUUAGACAUCUGAAUGGAGGUUAGUGGGUGACAGAUUCCAAACCAGGUCCAGGGACCUUCAUUCCAUCACAGUGGCCUAACCCUCAGUUGUUAGACCAAAGCUGAUAGGGACCCAGGACUCUGAUAGAGCCAAUAGAAUAACAUUUAUAAGGAGAACCCUACAGAAAAAGUAUAUUUUACUUGGGGACCAGUAAACAGCAUCCUGCAUUAUGUUUAUUUAUUAUUACUAUUAUUUUUUUAGGGCAGCACCUGUGACAUAUGGAAGUUUGAAGCCUAGGGAUCGAAUUGGAGCUAUAGCUGCUGGCCUACACCACAGCCACAGCAGCGUUCGAUCCGAGCCUCCGAGCCGUGUCUGCAACUUACACCACAGUUCAUGGCAAUGCCGGAUCCCCAACCUACUGACCCCGAGGCUGGGGAUCAAACCCACAUCCUCAUGGAUACUAGUCGGAUUCAUUUCUGCUGCACUGCAAUGGGAACUCCCUGCUUUAUGUUUAAAUUAACCUCUUAUGUGUCAUACAGGCACGCGUGUGUGUGCAGCUGAAGAAGAGAGGCAGUACAUCAGAGUUCCUGUCGUGGCGCAGCAGAAACAAAUCCAAGUAGGAACCAUGAGGUUGUGGGUUUGAUCCCUGGCCUUGCUCAGUGGGUUGAGGAUCCGGCAUUGCUGUGAGCUGUGGUAUAGGUCGAAGAUGCGGCUUGGAUCUGGCGUUGCUGUGCCUGUGGCGUAGGCCAGCAGCUGUAGCUCCAAUUGGAGCCCUAGCCUGGGAAACUCCAUAUGCCAUGGGUG
ensembl:lncRNA